rnacentral:miRNA from 1 species
GAAACAGCGAACGGAUCACCUGAU